rnacentral:rRNA from 1 species
GGACUACUCGGGUUUCUAAUCCUGUUUGAUCCCCACGCUUUCGUGCCUCAGUGUCAAUAACCGCGUAGCGAGCUGCCUUCGCAAUUGGUGUUCUAUGUCAUAUCUAAGCAUUUCACCGCUACAUGACAUAUUCCGCUCACCUCCAUGGUAUUCAAGACUUAUAGUAUCAAUGGCAGUUUCCGAGUUAAGCCCGGAGAUUUCACCACUGACUUACAAGCCCACCUACGCACCCUUUAAACCCAGUGAAUCCGGAUAACGCUUGCACCCUCCGUAUUACCGCGGCGGCUGGCAC